UAUAGCUCAGCUGGGAGAGCGCCUGCCUUGCACGCAGGAGGUCAGCGGUUCGAUCCCGCUUA
rnacentral:tRNA from 1 species